rnacentral:rRNA from 1 species
AUUGAACGCUGGCGGCAUGCUUUACACAUGCAAGUCGAACGGUAACAGGUCUUCGGAUGCUGACGAGUGGCGAACGGGUGAGUAAUGCAUCGGAACGUGCCCAGUCGUGGGGGAUAACGCAGCGAAAGCUGUGCUAAUACCGCAUACGAUCUAUGGAUGAAAGCGGGGGACCGUAAGGCCUCGCGCGAUUGGAGCGGCCGAUGUCAGAUUAGGUAGUUGGUGGGGUAAAGGCCCACCAAGCCAACGAUCUGUAGCUGGUCUGAGAGGACGACCAGCCACACGGGGACUGAGACACGGCCCAGACUCCUACGGGAGGCAGCAGUGGGGAAUUUUGGACAAUGGGCGCAAGCCUGAUCCAGCAAUGCCGCGUGCAGGAAGAAGGCCUUCGGGUUGUAAACUGCUUUUGUACGGAACGAAAAGGCUCUGGUUAAUACCUGGGGCUCAUGACGGUACCGUAAGAAUAAGCACCGGCUAACUACGUGCCAGCCGCCGCCGUAACAC